CACACCGCCCGUCACACCACGAAAGCCAGUUGUACUAGAAGCCGGCAAUUCAACCGCAAGGAGAUAGCCGUCCAAGGUAUGACUGGCGAUUGGGGUG
rnacentral:rRNA from 1 species